rnacentral:lncRNA from 1 species
CGGGGACGCUAAACAUGUAUAUUCUUUUUACAUGGCCUAAACGACAAGGUAUCAGAUAUCCAUUGUUUUGACAUUCCUUUUCCCUUAGAUAUAAACACGCAAAAUCAUGCAUUUCGUGAGAAAUUAUAUGCGCGAGAAAUAUACUGGGCGAAUUGUCUGUAGGGCGAAUUUAAUCUGACCAAGAUUUUGGCCGAUUCGAAUUGCAUGCACACUCGUACUCAUGGUCAUAUGAGUAUCCGAGUACUGCUGUUUUGUGCUGUUGUGCUGAUUGCUAGCUUAGCUUUGGUUACUGAGAGUUCAAGAGUUGCAGAAAGUUAUUGACUGUUUUCAGAGUUGCAGAGAGUUGCAGAGAGUUGCAGAGAGACCGAGGGUGGUACACUCCAAAGAACUCUCCAAAGAACUCUCCAAAGAACUCUCCAA